GCCGCAGUUCAGGUACGAGAUCACCCAGCCUCUCUCCUAAAGCGGGUGUCGCAGGUUCGAAUCCUGCCGGGGGCACCA
rnacentral:tRNA from 2 species